AGGAUCUUCACUAGAUGAAACAGUCCACAACAACAAAAAACACAAAUUUUAAUGCAUUCGAAUCUCUGACACAUUUACUAUUUAGUUCAGCUAUUAGGACACAUGUUUGUAUGUCAGGUGAAUUUAUGACUCAUUCGAUAAGGACAACAAAAUGGAAUAGAACAAAAAUAUUACAAGAUAUCCAAUUAACAAAUAGGAAUAUUAAAAUCGUUGACGUUUUUAAGAAUAUGUAUUGUCUCAGCUUUGAUAUAAGAUCCAUAAGGAACACACACAGUUAAACUUUGUUUACAUUAAAUUUCUCAUUUCACUUCGGAAACAUAGACAAAUAAACAUUCACAUCUGUAUGUUUGAUUUAUGUGUAGACGAAUUUAUUUAAUAAAAUGCCAGCGGAAGUAGCUUUCAUCAUGAACACGUCAAAACUCACCAUAAGAUGGGCAAAAGUGUCAAAGCAAGGACCAGAACAAUGCGUAUCUCACAAGCCAACUUGAAAAAAUCUUGCACAUUAUGAAAGAAGCAACGUCACAACAAACACAAUGCAUAAAGAAAAUGAAGAAGUAUAAGAUUAAAACAAGAUUUUGUGAGGAGAAGAAAAUAAAAUGCAAUUCAGUGGAGUAAACAAGCUAUUGGUAUUUCAAUAGGUGUGGGUGGAUGUAAGAAGCCGGGUAGCGAAAGAAACGCAAUACGAAUAUACGGAGGACAUGCCGAAAACGAAAGAGGCAUAUAAGCCCGAUUCAACGCACACGAGUAUAAUUUGGGUGGAAGCAUAUGUACGGUAGAAGACACAGCAUACAUACAAAGUUUUCACGAACACACCCACAUAUACCACAUACACAUUGGAAAUGCAUAUGAACUUAGUGAAAUAACAAAAAUGAUUACUCACCGUUUAAAUCCUUCGUCAACUGGGAACGCGUCGACAUCUUACCCAACUUGUGCAGAAUUUUUGCGGCGAAAGUCAAGUGGAGCGCAACUGGAGCGCAGCAAUGCACGCCAGCAAAACAGGAUUUACCGGAAAUUCAAAGAGUAGGUGUUGGCGGUGCAACAACGGAAGGGAUUGUCGUUGUUGGCUCUUGCGUUGAGGCUGUGGUUGCCAGUGAGGCAAGUGGCCUUCCGUGCCCUUCCAACUGUUAUCGUUUUUGUUGCCGUUUAACCGCUUGAGCUGGUAGAUGUUUUUAUUUGUCGCUUUUUAUGUGUUUGGCCAACCGCUUGGCGUAUCCAAAU